rnacentral:rRNA from 1 species
AUAACGCGAAGAACCUUACCUACCCUUGACAUGGCUGGAAUCCUCGAGAGAUCGGGGAGUGCUCGAAAGAGAACCAGUACACAGGUGCUGCAUGGCUGUCGUCAGCUCGUGUCGUGAGACGUUGGGUUAAGUCCCGUAACGAGCGCAACCCUUGUCCUUAGUUACCAGCACGUAAUGGUGGGCACUCUAAGGAGACUGCCGGUGACAAACCGGAGGAAGGUGGGGAUGACGUCAAGUCCUCAUGGCCCUUAUGGGUAGGGCUUCACACGUCAUACAAUGGUACAUACAGAGCGCCGCCAACCCGCGAGGGGGAGCUAAUCCCAUAAAACCGAUCGUAGUCCGGAUCGCAG